UUUCCCUCCCUCCUUCUCUCCCUCUCUCUCUUUUUUCUUUCUCUCUUUCUUUCUUCUGAGAUGGAUCAUAACCAGGAUCUUUUUUAGGUUUAUAUCCUGCACUUUGUGAAGCACCACGAACACAAUAGGCAUCUAAUAAUUAUCCAUUGACUGGAACUCUGCCCUACUGUCUUCUGCUGCCUCUUCAAGAGAGCAGGGGUCACCACUGCAGCUUAUGAGUGAACACCAGUGAAGGCUGCGUUAAAAUAAAAGACGAAGCCAUGGUCCGCAGGGAGAUGCCCUCACAGGCCUAUUGCGAACAGUUCUCAAAACUCCGAAGUCAAAUCCUGAGGCUGUAACGCAGGCUUCCGCGAGCGGAGCAAGGGGGCGACGGGCCAGAGCCAGGUCGUGUCCUUGCUGGCUCCACCCUCACGUGUGCAACAGUGGUCCUGCUGCACCUGCCUGGACCACACCCGGCCACCGCCCGACUGGCUGAAAGCCCUGGCACGGAGGUCGCCACCGGGGAUGGGGUGUCAGCCCCCCAGACCCGGGAGCAGAGGCCCACGAUUAUCAGCCCGCAUCCUCAUGUGAAAUUUAGUAUUUUAAAUUAAAAAAAACAUUCUUUAUUCCA